rnacentral:rRNA from 1 species
GACGAACGCUGGCGGCGUGCCUAAUACAUGCAAGUCGAACGCUGAAGGAGGAGCUUGCUUCUCUGGAUGAGUUGCGAACGGGUGAGUAACGCGUAGGUAACCUGCCUGGUAGCGGGGGAUAACUAUUGGAAACGAUAGCUAAUACCGCAUAACAGUCGAUAUCGCAUGAUAUCUACUUGAAAGGUGCAAUUGCAUCACUACCAGAUGGACCUGCGUUGUAUUAGCUAGUUGGUGAGGUAACGGCUCACCAAGGCGACGAGACAUAGCCGACCUGAGAGGGGGAUCUGCCCCACUGGGAAUGAGACACGGCCCAGACUCCUACGGGAGGCAGCAGUAGGGAAUCUUCGGCAAUGGACGGAAGUCUGACCGAGCAACGCCGCGUGAGUGAAGAAGGUUGUCGGAGCGUAAAGAUCUGUUGUAAGAGAAGAAAGAGUGUGAGAGUGGAAAGUUCACACUGUGACGGUAACUUACCAGAAAGGGACGGCUAACUACGUG